rnacentral:lncRNA from 1 species
CGUAAUCCAUAAUUAUGCAUAUGAAAAUGUAGGUGCAUAUACCCAAAAUGCACAAAUUCGGUUUUGUAAAAUAAUGAGUGAAGUGGAUGAUUUUAAACCGAUUAUAUUGAUCCAAGAGAUGAUUUAAGAUAAUGGAUGGUGUUGAUUGGAUCAAAAGUGGACUAAAAAGAGCUUAAAUAUUCAAUUUCGGGUUUAACAAAAAUUGAGUGAAAUGGAUUUGUUUGAGAAAAGAAAAUUGAUCCUAGAGAUGAAUGAAACUAAUAUAUGAUGUAGAUUGGAUCAAAAAUGGACUAAAGGAAGCUUGAAAAUGUAGAGAGAGAAACGGGUAGUUAGGUUUUUGAUUUUGGGUUUUAUGUGGAGAGUUGAUGAAAUAAAGUUUUGAGAACGAACAUUGAAGGAGUAAUGGAUGAAUAAUUAUUUGGAUGAUUGAUUUUAACAAGAAAAUGAGUGAAAGAUGAAGAAUUUUGAGAGAGAAAUGGAGAGUUACUGUUCACGCGUGAGAGAUGAUGAUGAAAUGAUGAAAAACAAGUGAAGAAAUCAUGAUGGAGAAGAGUUUAAUGAAGAUGAAAUGCAUGGGUAAUGGUUUAAGAGAUUGAUCUUGGCAUAAAAAUGGUUGAGAAAUGAAGAGGAAUUGAUUGGAAAUGGAAGAGGGUGGCUCACGGUUUUGAGAGAGAGGAAGAACAAGUGCAGAAAAAUAACGAAGGAAGGAGAAGCAAAACAAAAUCAGCCAAACCCGUAAACGGCUUGCCGGUUAGGCUUGAAC